GAGGGGAUAGCUCAGUGGUAGAGUGUGUGCCUAGCAUGCACGAAGUCCUGGGUUCAAUCCCCAGUACCUUCU
rnacentral:tRNA from 1 species